rnacentral:lncRNA from 1 species
AGUCAGAGCAGGCCGAUUGAUAUAUAGCGCAAGUUGCAAAAGCCAAAAGGCAACAGCCUUUCUUUUUAGCAAUAGAAUGGCCGGGGUGGAAAGGUGGGACUGUACGUCUUUCACAUGCAUGGGAGAACAACAGAGAGAAAUCAUAGGUAUUCAUAUCUACUUAAUUUGCAAUUAGGAAGUAAAGAGUUAACAACUGAUGUCGAAAUGAGAG